UAAAAAAAUAGAAAGUUAAAACUUUUGUGUCUCUCUAGAAGGAAAUGUCGACAGAAGAAAAAAAAGAAACUCGCGACUUCUUCUCCGACGCUUCCAUCUCCGAUCUCCGACAGCUCCUUUUGCAUCACCAUCUUCGAAGAUCACGGACGUUUUCAAUUCCGAAUACCCCAGCCUCAUCUCGUCUUCCUGUUUGUUGUCGUGGACGAACCCUAACUCCACACCAACGUUUAAGUCACCACCACCUUCGAUUCCCAGAAACUUGAACUUGAUAGCAUCAUCUUCUGCCAUCAGAAAACAAAGCAUUAGAAGCUACUAUAGACGCUAAGAUGGAUUCUAGAAUUGGUGUACAUGAUUCUGACUUACGGCAGAAGAUUGCUAGACUACAGGAAGAAAUAAAUCUUCUUAGAAACAAAGGCUGAUGUGAACAUUGCUCCUGAUGUGGCCAAACUCCAAAGCAAAUGAGGAUAGUGGUUCUUGUAGCAAUAACUUAUCAUGGAUGGUUCAGAAAUCAAUUCACAAGAUGGAUUGCCAAUACAAUGUGUUGUUAAGAAGAGAAAAAAAAAAGCUAAGAAGAUGAUGGAGAAGGAGGAUCUUGGGUGUAAUUUUGAUGUUUUGAAUGAUCAGAUUAUAUCACCAUUUCGACUGAAGUUGGCGGUUGAUAUUUAUGAGGUGGUGACUUGAUAUGCUCUAUAUUUUAACCUAUUUAAUCUAUAAGUUUCAUAUGUUUUCAAAUGUUUUAUAUGCAUUUCGUAGCUCUUUUAGAGAUAUUUCAGGUUUAGGUACUCUUUGGAAUAAAGUGAUGAUUAUGGAGUAUUUUGAGACAUUUUUGGGAGAUAUUAUAUCUCACUCGCGGAGCUGACUACUGAAGAGAUCAUCGACCGACGUAUCAAAAUUAACAUCGACCGAUAGAGAAUCACACGCGUCGAUCGAUUGAGCAAUAGCCAUAUCGAUCGAUACAGAGCCAUUCACGAUUAAUGAAGAUAUGAAGAUUUACGAGUUUUACCCAAAAGAUAUCAUAAUUGCAUUAUACAUCUUGGCCGCCUGUUAAGCCAUACUAUUAGGGUUUUUUACCAUUUAAGUAAGGAGACACUAAGAAGAGAAAAAUCAAGCAAUUAAGGAGGCUAAAAGCAAGUCACCAAAGUCAUCAACAAAGAGAGAAGUAAUAGCUUAGAGAGUCAGUUGGAGAAGAAGAUAUCUACCUUGGAGAGAGAGAUCUAAGCUGCAUAAACAAAGAAGAUCUUGAACUCCUUUUGUUUUCUUACUCUAUUACUAUUUUCAUUAAGUUUUAUUUAAGUAUUAUUCAGACCAUCAUGAUCAUGCUUCUUAUGAAUAUGUCUGAGUAGUUCUACCGUUAGAUUUAGGUUUACCAAAUGUUGAUUUAUG